GCUGAGCUAUGCUUUAGAUUGGUGAAUUUUUGUGCUUAUUGGUGACUGUUGUGACUGUUUCAGGAGACAAACAGUGGAGCUAAAGCUGACUGUAUUCGUGUAGAGUCUGAUGGUGUCUCUGGUAAUGAUGUCCACUCCACCCAACAUCCAGAGACUAAGUCUUCGGGCUGCAAUCAGAUCUUGAAGCCGAGAUGGAACCAUCUGCAGAGCAAACCUCAAAACCCUGAGCAGUCACCAACAGAACCAACCAGUACCACAUCAGUUCCCAAAGCAAGCUGGAAGUGCCUGAGCUUGUUUCUCCAAGACACUCACAGCAUUGGGGAGCUCAAUGAAGGGGGGGGACCAGUCUUGGUCCUAAAUAGGUCCUCAGUUUGGUGAAUGAAAUCACAUGCGUCUUGGGAAGGACGACAAAGAGCACCUGCCUUGAACUCUUUUAACCCUUGGAUGCAUGGAUGACCAAUACCUACACUCUUCCAUGAGUGGGGUCAAAAAUGACCCCAAUUAG
rnacentral:lncRNA from 1 species